GAUGAACGCUGGCGGCGUGCCUAAUACAUGCAAGUCGAGCGAACGGACGAGAAGCUUGCUUCUCUGAUGUUAGCGGCGGACGGGUGAGUAACACGUGGAUAACCUACCUAUAAGACUGGGAUAACUUCGGGAAACCGGAGCUAAUACCGGAUGAUCUUUUGAACCGCAUGGUUCAAAAGUGAAAGACGGUCUUGCUGUCACUUAUAGAUGGAUCCGCGCUGCAUUAGCUAGUUGGUAAGGUAACGGCUUACCAAGGCAACGAUGCAUAACCGACCUGAGAGGGGGAUCGGCCACACGGGAACGGAGACGCGGUCCAGACUCCUACGGGAGGCAGCAGUAGGGAAUCGUCCGCAAUGGGCGAAAGCCUGACGGAGCAACGCCGCGUGAGAGAUGAAGGUCUCCGGAUCGUAAAACUCUGUUAUUAGUGAAGAACAUAUGUGUAAGUAACUGUGCACAUCUUGACGGUACCUAAUCAGAAAGCCACGGCUAACUACGUG
rnacentral:rRNA from 1 species